AGCGAACGCUGGCGGCAUGCUUAACACAUGCAAGUCGCACGGGGCGCUUUCGGGCAUCCAGUGGCGGACGGGUGAGUAUCGCGUAGGGAUUUGUCGUUGGGUGGGGACGAACCGUUGGGAAACUGGGGCGUAAUACCGCAUGACGCCUGUGGGCCAAAGCUCGUGAGGCGCCUGACGAGGAGCCUGCGUCCGAUUAGGUAGUUGGUUGGGUGAUGGCUGACCAAGCCNG
rnacentral:rRNA from 1 species